CAAAAGUCUUACCAAGAGACUGACUCAGUGAUCAGCUCUGUCACCACCUAGGUGAAGGACAUUGCCUUCCCCAACAUCUCUGAUCUGGGUGCCUGUGUGUGGGAUUUGUCUGAUUACAACAUCCCCUCUCAGACUAACAUGAUCGUCACCCCCAACUCAACUGAGCUGUCCAAAGCUCCCAAGCCAACCCACCAUUUGCAUGUCAGACAGUGACUGCACAGAGGGAUCCAGUGAU